rnacentral:tRNA from 7 species
GCGGCUGUAAUAUAGCGGUAGUAUACGAGCUUCCCAAGCUUGGUGUAGGGGUUCAACUCCCCCCAGCCGCU